rnacentral:rRNA from 1 species
UACGAAGGGGGCUAGCGUUGUUCGGAAUCACUGGGCGUAAAGCGCACGUAGGCGGAUUGUUAAGUCGGGGGUGAAAUCCUGAGGCUCAACCUCAGAACUGCCUUCGAUACUGGCAAUCUCGAGUCCGGAAGAGGUUGGUGGAACAGCUAGUGUAGAGGUGAAAUUCGUAGAUAUUAGCUAGAACACCAGUGGCGAAGGCGGCCAACUGGUCCGGUACUGGACGCUGAGGCACGAAAGCGUGGGGAGCAAACAGG